rnacentral:tRNA from 1 species
GCCAAAGUGGUGAAACUAGUAGACACACUGGUCUUAGGAACCAGUGGCUUAGGCCGUGGGGGUUCGACUCCCUCCUGUGGCA